UACGUAGGGUGCAAGCGUUGUCCGGAAUUAUUGGGCGUAAAGAGCUCGUAGGCGGUCUGUCGCGUCGAAUGUGAAAACCCGGGGCUCAACCCCGGGCCUGCAUUCGAUACGGGCAGACUAGAGUUCGGUAGGGGAGUCUGGAAUUCCUGGUGUAGCGGUGAAAUGCGCAGAUAUCAGGAGGAACACCGGUGGCGAAGGCGGGACUCUGGGCCGACACUGACGCUGAGUGCGCGAAAGCCAGGGGAGCAAACGGG
rnacentral:rRNA from 1 species